AGCAGCCGCGGUAAUUCCAGCUCCAAUAGCGUAUAUUAAAGUUGUUGCAGUUAAAAAGCUCGUAGUUGAAUUUCGAGACCGGUUUACUGGUCGUGCUUUUGUACGUACUGGUAUAAUCGGUUUCUCUUUUCUGACGAACUAUAAUGCCAUUAAUUUGGUGUUAUAGGGAAUCAGGACUGUUACUUUGAAAAAAUUAGAGUGUUUAAAGCAGGCUCACGCUUGAAUACAUUAGCAUGGAAUAACGAAAUAGGACGUUUGAUUUUAUUUUGUUGGUUUCUAGGAUCGACGUAAUGAUUAAUAGGGAUAGUUGGGGGCAUUAGUAUUCAAUUGUCAGAGGUGAAAUUCUUGGAUUUAUUGAAGACUAACUACUGCGAAAGCAUUUGCCAAGGAUGUUUUCAUUAAUCAAGAACGAAAGUUAGGGGAUCGAAGACGAUCAGAUACCGUCGUAGUCUUAACCAUAAACUAUGCCGACUAGGGAUCGGAUGAUGUUAAUAUUAAUGACUCAUUCGGCACCUUACGG
rnacentral:rRNA from 1 species